AUUGAACGCUGGCGGCAUGCCUUACACAUGCAAGUCGAACGGUAGAGGGGCAACCCUUGAGAGUGGCGAACGGGUGAGUAAUGUAUCGGAACAUGCCCAGUCGUGGGGGAUAACGUAGCGAAAGUUACGCUAAUACCGCAUACGAUCAAUGGAUGAAAGCGGGGGAUCGCAAGACCUCGCGCGAUUGGAGUGGCCGAUAUCAGAUUAGGUAGUUGGUGGGGUAAAGGCCUACCAAGCCGACGAUCUGUAGCUGGUCUGAGAGGACGACCGGCCACACUGGGACUGAGACACGGCCCAGACUCCUACGGGAGGCAGCAGUGGGGAAUUUUGGACAAUGGGCGAAAGCCUGAUCCAGCCAUUCCGCGUGCAGGAAGAAGGCCUUCGGGUUGUAAACUGCUUUUGUACGGAACGAAACGCGCUGAGUUAAUACCUCGGCGUAAUGACGGUACCGUAAGAAUAAGCACCGGCUAACUACGUGCCAGCCGCCGCCGUAACAC
rnacentral:rRNA from 1 species